CAACAGAUAAAUUUGAAUCGAACCCCUUGUGCCUUUCAUCCACUUCAUCAUGUGGCAGAAAAACAUUGAGGGAGCCAUAGACGACAGAUUUCCCAGUCCGCAAAUCCUCACAGGUCUCGGCAAAGCCAGAUCCAAUCCAACGCAGAGGGCUUAGUUCUUGAUUGCUUUUGGAACUAAGCCAACUUAUGUGCACCUCGAAUGGUUUCGAUGUUGUG
rnacentral:lncRNA from 1 species